rnacentral:rRNA from 1 species
GCGAAAGCUACGCUAAUACCGCAUACGAUCUACGGAUGAAAGCGGGGAUCGCAAGACCUCGCGCGAUUGGAGCGGCCGAUAUCAGAUUAGGUAGUUGGUGAGGUAAAGGCUCACCAAGCCGACGAUCUGUAGCUGGUCUGAGAGGACGACCAGCCACACUGGGACUGAGACACGGCCCAGACUCCUACGGGAGGCAGCAGUGGGGAAUUUUGGACAAUGGGCGCAAGCCUGAUCCAGCAAUGCCGCGUGCAGGAUGAAGGCCUUCGGGUUGUAAACUGCUUUUGUACGGAACGAAACGGUGAGCUCUAAUACAGUUUGCUAAUGACGGUACCGUAAGAAUAAGCACCGGCUAACUACGUG